AUUGAACGCUGGCGGAAUGCUUUACACAUGCAAGUCGAGCGGCAGCGCGGGGCAACCUGGCGGCGAGCGGCGAACGGGUGAGUAAUGCAUCGGAACAUGUCCAUGUCGUGGGGGAUAGCCCGGCGAAAGCCGGAUUAAUACCGCAUAUGCCGAGAGGGAAGCGGGACCGCAAGGCCUGGCGCGAUUGGGUUGGCCGAUGUCCGAUUAGCUAGUUGGCGGGGAAGAGCCCACCAAGGCGAUGAUCGGUAGCUGGUCUGAGAGGAUGAUCAGCCACACUGGGACUGAGACACGGCCCAGACUCCUACGGGAGGCAGCAGUGGGGAAUUUUGGACAAUGGGGAAACCUGAUCCAGCCAUUCCGCGUGAGUGAAGAAG
rnacentral:rRNA from 1 species